GUCACACGUUAUCAGAACUGAGCGAUCAAGCUUUCUUGUUGACGUUAAUUUGAGUAGCCGAAAAUUCACGAAAACUAUUUAUUUCGAUUUCAUUUUGCAAAAAUUUUAGUGAUGGAGUUUCCGAUAUUAAUAUAUCCCCUUUUGUAGCUUUUGCGAAGCAGAUUUUCUGAAACGUAUAAUAACGGCGCAUUGCUUUUACUCCUUAACUCUAUUUUAUCUCAUAUUACUUCAAAGGAGCCCUUUUAAAUAUCCUAUUGAUUAAAAAAUAGUAUAAAUAUGUUUGGCUCAUUAAAAUUUUUUUUUAUUUUACACUUCACUCUUCUUAAUUUGAACUCAAAAGUAAAAUUGUCCAGCACUAAAUCAAACUCGAAUAAUAAUUAAGAUUAAAGCAGUCUAAAAUUGUUCCUUUCCUUUUUAAUAAUAUAUUUCACUUUUCGAUAUUUAAAAUUCUGUAGAAAUAAUAACUUAUACUUUGAGUAUGAUGAUGCAGAAUAUAUCUGUUGACUUUCAUUUUGUUAAUAUUUAAUAAAAAUAAAGUUUUUAAAAAUGAGAAUUAAAACUGGAAUGAAAUGACUUGACAGAGUUGAUAUUUUCUAGAAAAGAAAAUGCAUGGAUUUUAACAUGUUAUGAGUAAAGAAUUGUAUUCUAUAUUCUCAUAAUUAUCAAAUCUGAACCUGAAUAUUUACCAGAACAGCUAAUUCUUUUGUUCACUGUGCCUCUGAUUUGAAUUGACUGAAAAUAUGGGAAAAAAUUCCAGAAGAAAAAAGUUAUGAAUUAAACAUGUUUAAGACUAUGUUGGGUCAAUGUAGCCACAACUGGGAAGAAUUAUUUUUUCUGAUUCUUAUCUAUUAAUAUAUAUAUGAAAAUUCAGCCGAUCUGCACACAGAGGAAAUUUUUGUCCUGUUUGUGAGAAAAAGUUCUCUUCGAGGCAGCGGUUGUCGAGUCACAUGGAUACUCAUAAAGACGUGAGACAGUUGCACAGAUGUUCCAUCUGCUUGAAAACAUUCACCUUAAAAGAUAACCUUAAAAAACAUUUUAGAUUAUUCCAUCAACUAAAUAUGGAUUAUUCAUCAUCAAGGAAUCUUUUAAUAGGAUGAGUUUUUUUUCUACAUUACACAUCCUAUUUCAUGGAGAAAAUUUUUUUUAUCAAAAAGUGAUAUUUGCUGGUAAAAAUGUUAUUCAUUGCUAUAUGUGUGGCAAGACAUUUUCUUCGAGACAACGAAUGUUAACUCACGUGGAUACGCAUAAUGACAUCAGAACAUUACACAAGUGCUGUCAUUGUAAUCGUACAUUUACAAGAGAUGACAACCUUCAAAGGCACAUUAAAUUGACUCAUGUGUUUGGAAAACUAAAGUAGUUUUAAGGAGUACUGAAUUACUGCAAUAUUUCUAUUGAUAUGUGUUGACAAAAGAGCUAUUGAAUGUAGUAUAUGUAGCAAAACUUUUACUUCCAAAUGGCGAAUGAAGACUCACAUGGAUACGCAUAAUGACAUCAGGACAUUACAUAAAUGCGUGCUUUGUGAUUCCACAUUUACACGAGAUGAUAAUCUCCAAAGGCAUAUUAAAUAUGCUCAUUUCAUCAAACAUUGUUAAAAGUGUUCUAAAUCAGAAACUUAUGUAAAAAUAUCUCUUUUGAUAUUUGUCGAAAGAAAGAUAACGUUCUAAAAUGAAUGAUUGAAGAAAUAAAAGAGGCUACUCUAUUAAAAGGGAAACCUAAUAUACCAGACAUUGUUUUUUUUUGAUUUUAAAAUUUUAAAAUAAAAAGCUGGACUGAAUAUUCUAAAUCAUUAUAAAAAGAUUUUUUAUUUCAAUCACUGGGAGAUUGUUUUAAAAUAAUCAAAUUCAGUGAUUACAAUAUGAAUUUAAGAAUUUUCAAUUACAAUUGUUGCACAUUAAAGUAUAUUUAUAGAAAGGUCCCAAUUCAGUCUGAUGCAACAUUACUGUAACUGCCAAUAUUUCAGCAUUUUGCAGAAGCUUUCUGCAUAGAUUCAUUCCUUUCUGCUUUAAGGUUGUAAUAUUCGGUAUUUUGACGGUAGAUAUUAAAAUUUUGUAGAUUUUUCUAAAUACUCGUGUAUACACGUGUGUGAUAGUCUGCCAUUUCUUUGUUUAGCCAAUGACAACUUGAAUUUUCACUGUGCUUCAUCCUGAUUGAUGUUAACAAUAAACAAUUAAUGCAAAAUAUAAAAUUUUAAGCUUCUGAUUGUUCAAAAAAAUAUUUAUUUUCUCUUUCUCAUAUAUUUGAUCUGAUUAGUGUUAAAACAGUAUGUCACACUCGAGGAACACUAUAUCCCAAUAACCUCUGCUGACCGUUUCAUCAAUUUUUUUUAUAAAAGCGUUUAAAUUUUUUAAGGUUACUCAGAAACGUUGUGGACAAACCACGACUUCUUUGCUGCUAGUAAAGGGAUAAAUAAUUAUAACUUUCAACUAGAUGUAUUAUUUAACAGUUAAAUAUGUUUAAACUAUCAUUUAUAAAUUCAGUAAAUGUUUUUUGUUGAAAAAAAAUAUAACUGUAGUGGUUUUACUUUGAAUAAGAAUAAAAUGGAAUUUUUUAUUGAAUCUUAUGCAUUUUUACAAAAUGGGAGGUUUAUGUAUUUCACAAUUCAUUUGAUAAACAUUGUUUCCCACCAAAUUAUCUGAAACUUUGUUUCUAUUUUUAGUGUCUAGUGCAUUUAAUAGUUGAAUAUAGAUUUCUUUUCCUAAAUGCCAAUGAACUCACAAAAUUAAUUUUACUAAGUUAAUGGAGUGUAAAGGAUAAUUUCACAUGUUUGUUUACAAACACAAAAUAUUACUUACUUAUUAAUAAAAGAAGCUAUAUGAUUUGUCUUCUCACAAGUAUGUGUUUAAAAUGAGUAGACCUACUAUUAGAUAAUUAGUCAGGAAUGUUAUAUGGUUGAUAAAAAAGACUAUUGAACUUUAAGUUUUGGAUAAUAAUGCACUAUAAAUACAAUUUAUAUAAGUAAGGUAAAAUAAAAUGAUAAAUAACCUCUAAAUAUUGAAAAUAACAAUGGCUUUGAUCCAUGGCCUAGAGAAGUUGAAACAUCUGUUAUUCAUAGUAAUGUCUUAUUCUAUGAAAUCUGUAGUUAUCAUUGUAAUUCUUUCAUUGUGGUUUUGGAUAUUUAAAAAAAAAUCAAUGACUUUUUGUUAAUUUGCUUUCUUGUUUAAAAUAAAAUCUAACAUGUACUA
rnacentral:sRNA from 1 species